CGUCGGAGCUCAUGUGGCGCAGUGGCAGCGUAGAGCUGACCAUGUAGCGACCCGGAGCGCCGCCUCUCGGCAGCCUGGCUCCCAGCCCUUCAACACAAGCUCCUCAGUUAUCGACAUUACGCUGACGGUCUCCCUACAUUACUGAUAUAUAAUAUUUAACCGUUCCUGUUUAUUCAUCAUUUGAAGAGUACUUUAACCCAACUUUGCAGCGUUUUCCAUGUUUACCCACUGACAUAAGACAACCUCCUCCCGCACAUAUCAGAACAUCAUGUGCUAUUACUACCUUAGGAACAUGAUGGCAAAGGAUUCCAGGAAUUGUGUUGGAAUUAAUUAACUUGGAGACGACUCAUUUAUGCCUGGCAACGCGAAGUGUGUCAAUCAGUCCAAGUCUGAUUAAUCCGCAUCAUGAUUUAAUGACAUGUGUGUGCAACUCUGGUUUACUUCAUUUAUAAUUUCGGGGUCACUGAUUAAAGUUACUUCGGUUCCUAUCCGUUACCCUUCAUCCCUCUCGACAUUAAUUGCCGCGGGAACUUUCCAGAUCACUCAGGACGCUUUGAGGGGAAGAUUAGCGCAAAACCCAACAGCGUAAUGGGUGUUGCUUCUCACUUGUGAUUGCUAGCAGUGAGCAUGGAAGAGAAACAGCAGAUCCCGCUGUAAGAGGGCAGUGGUGACCACAGACCUCCAUUUUGAUUACAUAUUCACGAUUAUUCUUGGAAAAAUACUGCAGUUAUUUGCUAUUGCGUACUUCACAAAAAAUGACCAGGAAACUCCUUUUAUUCCAUGCCAGCAUCCAUUUCGGAAGGAUUUACAGGUUUAUAAUCAAAUUCUGGAGAGUGUGAAGAGACCGUGCCUUUAUGGAAUGUUGUUUCUGCUGCAGAGGGAUGCUGUCACAGUGGUGCCAAAAUGUCUCCUUCAGCCAAGCAGUUGGCUUCACUGGCUGGAAGCGGAAGUGAUUUUCCAAGACAGAGGGGGAACAGAAAGAGGAAAUAAGAUUUCCCUACCACCUCAACAGCAGAGGAUGAGGUUGCUCCAAGUCAUUUCCAUCUCUAUCAAAGUCAACAGAAGCCUCAAUAUUACACUCAUCUUGUUAACAUUAAUAAAGGAGUGAAGAAGCAGAAAUUAUAACUUCAACAGAAAGGCAAUGGAACAAGUCCAUCUUGAAUUAAGUCUAUCUAACUCUUCCUGAGGUCUCUACCAAUGAUGUUAAACACAAUAUAUAAAGCAUUGCAUUUCAAACAUUAAGGAUCACUUGUUGAAUAUUACUUCAUGCUGUUUGAUUUGAGGUACUGAAAUGUAAAGGACACAGUAGGUAAAUGAUCUUUUCAGCCUUCAUCUAAUAUGUCUUGCUAAAAUUAUACAAGGCACUACUCAGGCCACUGUCGGAAAACUGUGAACAGUAUUGGGACCCCUAACCAAAGGGGAGAUGAAAUAGCACUAGAGGUAGUUUAGGGAGGACUCACUAGGCUGAUACAAGGAAUUGAGGGACUGUCUUAUCAGGGAUAGUGAAAUAGGUGGGGCCUGUAUUUGAUGGAAUAUAAAAGAGUGAGAGGCAUCCAUAUUGAAACAUACAAGGUUCUUAGGGAAUUGACAGGAUAAAUGUAGAAAUGUGUCCCUUUGUGAGAGAGUUCAGGACCACAGGAAAUAAUUUCAUAACAAAGGGUCACCCAUCUAAGGCAGAGAUUAUGAAGUAUUUCUCCUCUUGGAGGGUAGUGAAUCUGUGGAAUUCUUUACUGCAGGGGCUGUUGAGGC